rnacentral:SRP_RNA from 1 species
GCUGGGUGUGGUGGUGCAUGCCUGUAGUCCCAGCUACUCAGGACGCUGAGGUGGGAGGAUCACUUGAGCCCAGGAGUUCUGGGCUGUAGUGUGCUAUGCCAUCAGGUGUCCACACUAAGUUCGGCAUCAACGUGGUGACCUCCCGGGAGUGGGGGACCACCAGGUUGCCUAAGGAGAGGUGAACUGGCCCAGGUUGGAAAUGGAGCAGGUCAAAACUCCUGUGCUGAUCAGUAGUGGGAUCGUGCCUAUAAAUGACCACUGCACUCCAGCCUGGGCAACAUAGUGAGACCCUGUCUCU